rnacentral:rRNA from 1 species
GACGAACGCUGGCGGCGUGCCUAAUACAUGCAAGUCGAGCGGACCGACCAGGAGCUUGCUCUUGUUCGGUUAGCGGCGGACGGGUGAGUAACACGUGGGUAACCUGCCCGUAAGACCGGGAUAACUCCGGGAAACCGGAGCUAAUACCGGAUAACACCGACGACCGCAUGGUCUUUGGUUGAAUGGCGGCUUCGGCUGCCACUUACGCAUGUGCCCGCUGCGCAUUUUGUCGUUGGUGAGGUAACCGGUCACCAAGGCGAAGAUGCGUAGCCGGCCUGAGAGGGUGACUGGCCAAAAUGGGAACGGGAAACGGCCCCGACUCCCAAGGGGGGCAGCAGGAGGGAAUCAUCCGAAAUGGACGAAAGGCUGAAGGCGGGAAGCCGCGUGAGGGAAGAAGGGCUUCGGAUCGUAAAGGUCUGUUGUUAGGGAAGAAGAAGCGUCGUUCGAACAGGGCGGCGCGGUGACGGUACCUAACGAGAAAGCCCCGGCUAACUACGUG